UGCGCAUGCAACAACAUAAUUUGGGAAAUCUAUUUGAUUUAGAUCAUCCAGAAAAUAUAUUCAUGAUUGUGGAAACAUGGUGUUAUUGAAAACAGUUCUAUAAAUCAAUGUGCAGCAAGUUGAUGCUCCCUUUCAGGAACGCCCACCGCAUGGGAUAGUCGGACAGAGCAAAAUGGAAGAACAAUACCAGGGUCUGAAAGAAAAAUGACUCUCAACUGUUCCUGGCACCGCAAAUCUGCUUCAGAUCAAAAGAAAAACAGACCUUCUGGCACCCAGACUAGCAGAAGAGUAUUUUAUAGCUUUAUUUUCUAGUUGGAACUCAUCUGCAAUUACACUUCUCAUUUCUGUGGCAUUUUCAGCUGGUAAAGCAGCCAUUUGUCUGUGGUGCCUAUGACCCAGAUGCUGUAUCAGUCUCCAGCACUGGACUCCUCCAUUACCAGAGCCUGGAAACAGAAACCUCUGAAAAAUUCAGCCACACAGCAAAACAACAGGAGCAACAUAACAGGAAAUGGCCAUGGUUGGAGAUGCCAUGGGUUAGUUUCCCAGAUUACCACCACCUGUGUUGGCUGGAGGUAGCACAGCAAAUGCCUCCCAUGGGGAUCAGCCCUAUCACUCAGGCUGGUGGCUCCAGACUGAUGGCAAAAGGUAGUUAUGGCCACCGUGUGGCAGAGGGUAAGUGUGUCUGGCCAAGGGUGAUAGUACACAGCCUGUCAGGUCUUCUCCUGUAACUGCUCCAUCACAUGCUUUCGCUCUGCAUUUCUGUUCAAGGAAAAAUCUGACAUGGCAAUGGGCAGUGCUAAGUGUUAUUAGAGCAGUUAAUGCAUUGAAAAACUACUCCUGAGUUUCCCUUGUGGUAUCUUCCCUGUGUUGUAGCAUCUUGUUCAGCGUUUACUGACAUUUGCAGAUUUUAGAAAAGCAUGCAGUAAUUACAGUGUAUUAUCAUUAUCUUUAAUUCUGAUAUGUGGCUUAUCAUAAAACUCCUCUUAAAUAAUUUCUUGUUUUUCCUCAAGUGUGGCUGCAAAUGACAUCAUUUGUGUGUGAACUUCAGUUGGAUAUGGUAACACCUUGUAAAAUACUUUAACAAGACAGAAAUGCUUAAAUAAAGUUUGGGUUUGGUUUCAAA